AAAUAUUAAAGCAAAGGUCGUCCUACUCCAAUCUUAACUACCUGGACCUUCCGGUGUAUAGUUUAUACUCAACAUCCACUGUAUGGGCAUUUCAAACAUGUGGGAAUUAUACACAUGUGAACAUUCAUUCACUCAUUAUCAAACAGAGCAGUGAACUGCAUAGUUAGUUAAAUAUGUUUAAGAAUUAUUUAAUUGUGAACAUAACAUUUAAUAUUUCAGAAGUAUGUAACUAUUCAUUCAAAUGUUCCUCUACUUUUGUGGGUCCCUUUUUCGGCUAAUGUUUUAACAUCGGAGAAUAAAUGUUUAAAACUUA